GCGUGGAUUUGAUUUAUGGCAUGUCCGAUUGCAUGGGCCUUAGUGUCCCAUGUCAAAGCAUACUGUAACCCCGAACCAUUGCCUGGCUUUGCCCCGUGGGCUUCAGGUACUGAAGCGGCUUGCACAGUG